CGGGGUGUAGCGCAGUUGGUAGCGCGCUUGGUUUGGGACCAAGAUGCCGCAGGUUCGAGUCCUGUCACUCCGACCA
rnacentral:tRNA from 1 species